rnacentral:tRNA from 1 species
GCGGGGGAAGCCAUCUGGUGAUGGCGUCUCUGUGACAAGGAGAAUUGGGCGAGUUCGAUCCUCGCUCCCCGCA